rnacentral:rRNA from 1 species
GACGAACGCUGGCGGCGUGCCUAAUACAUGCAAGUAGAACGCUGAAGAGAGGAGCUUGCUCUUCUUGGAUGAGUUGCGAACGGGUGAGUAACGCGUAGGUAACCUGCCUGGUAGCGGGGGAUAACUAUUGGAAACGAUAGCUAAUACCGCAUAAAAUUGAUUAUUGCAUGAUAAUUAAUUGAAAGAUGCAACUGCAUCACUACCAGAUGGACCUGCGUUGUAUUAGCUAGUUGGUGAGGUAACGGCUCACCAAGGCGACGAUACAUAGCCGACCUGAGAGGGUGAUCGGCCACACUGGGACUGAGACACGGCCCAGACUCCUACGGGAGGCAGCAGUAGGGAAUCUUCGGCAAUGGGGGGAAACCUGACCGAGCAACGCCGCGUGAGUGAAGAAGGUUUUCGGAUCGUAAAGCUCUGUUGUAAGAGAAGAACGGGUGUGAGAGUGGAAAGUUCACACUGUGACGGUAUCUUACCAGAAAGGGACGGCUAACUACGUG